GACGAACGCUGGCGGCGUGCUUAACACAUGCAAGUCGAACGGAAAGGCCCUGCUUUUGUGGGGUGCUCGAGUGGCGAACGGGUGAGUAACACGUGAGUAACCUGCCCUUGACUUUGGGAUAACUUCAGGAAACUGGGGCUAAUACCGGAUAGGAGCUCCUGCUGCAUGGUGGGGGUUGGAAAGUUUCGGCGGUUGGGGAUGGACUCGCGGCUUAUCAGCUUGUUGGUGGGGUAGUGGCUUACCAAGGCUUUGACGGGUAGGCGGCCUGAGAGGGUGACCGGCCACAUUGGGACUGAGAUACGGCCCAGACUCCUACGGGAGGCAGCAGUGGGGAAUAUUGCACAAUGGGCGGAAGCCUGAUGCAGCAGCGCCGCGUGCGGGAUGACGGCCUUCGGGUUGUAAACCGCUUUCGCCUGUGACGAAGCGUGAGUGACGGUAAUGGGUAAAGAAGCACCGGCUAACUACGUG
rnacentral:rRNA from 1 species